GCUGCAUGCUUUAUACAUGCAAGUCGAACGGAGGCCCUAGCUUGCUAGGUGUCCUUAGUGGCGCACGGGUGAGUAACACGUGGGAACAUACCUUAUAGUACGGAAUAACUGCGGGAAACUGUAGCUAAUACCGUAUACUCCAGUAAUGGGAAAGAUUUAUCGCUAUAAGAUUGGCCCGCGCAAGAUUAGCUUGUUGGUGAGGUAAAAGCUCACCAAGGCUUCGAUCUUUAGCUGGUUUGAGAGGACGAUCAGCCACACUGGGACUGAGACACGGCCCAGACUCCUACGGGAGGCAGCAGUAGGGAAUAUUGGACAAUGGGGGCAACCCUGAUCCAGCAAUGCAGCGUGAGUGACGAAGGCCUUAGGGUUGUAAAACUCUUUCAUCGGUGAGGAUAAUGACAGUAGCCGAAGAAGAAGGACCG
rnacentral:rRNA from 1 species